AGCGCUGAGUAGUGAUCCUCACAUUGGAUGGUAGUUGUCUGUUUCACGGUUUACAGGCUUUUCUUAAUAUCUGACCGAUUAGUUUUUCGUUUGAUAGUAAUAACUUCGGAGUAACUAUAGGUGUUUAGGGGGGGCUGGAUAGUACAUUUGGUGGAAGACUGUAAAUAGCCUGUCGUUGGUUAGUUUGAUACGUUAGCAGUAGCCAUGUCGGGUGUAGUGCGAGGCCCCGCUGGGAACAAUGAUUGCCGAAUCUACGUAGGGAAUCUACCACCAGACAUCCGCACUAAAGAUGUCGAGGACGUGUUCUACAAGUACGGGACUAUCCGAGACAUCGACCUGAAGAACCGCAGAGGAGGCCCGCCGUUCGCCUUCAUCGAGUUUGAAGAUCCGAGGGACGCUGAUGAUGCAGUCUACGGGCGUGAUGGGUACGACUACGAUGGCUACAGAUUGCGGGUUGAGUUUCCAAGGAGCGGCAGAGGCUCCAGAGGUGGUUAUGGAGGAAUUGGUGGCGCACCCAGGGGCAGAUAUGGGCCUCCAUCCAGACGCUCGGAGUACAGGGUCGUUGUGUCAGGUCUUCCUCAGAGCGGCAGCUGGCAGGACCUGAAGGACCACAUGCGCGAGGCGGGUGAUGUCUGCUACGCCGACGUUUACAGAGACGGAACCGGAGUAGUAGAGUUUGUGCGCAAAGAGGACAUGACCUAUGCCGUCCGAAAACUGGACAACACCAAAUUCCGCUCCCAUGAGGGAGAAACUGCUUACAUUCGUGUGAAAUUAGACGGUCCCCGCAGCCCGAGUUAUGGAAGAUCCCGCUCCCGCAGCCGGGGCAGCAGAAGCAGGAGCCGCAGUCGCAGCGCCAGCCGCAGUCGGAGCAAUUCACGUGGUCGCGGCCGAGGAUCUCCCCGCUACUCACCCCGCCACAGCCGCUCUCGCUCCCGUUCUUAAAACCUUGCCGUCAUAAAUAUGUUGCCCCUCUGAUAUGUUCCCUCAUGUUUUUACCUCUGACUUUCUCCAGAUGUCUAUUGGUUUUUAUUUUUUCGCUUUUCUUGUCCUGGUGUCCCUGUGAACGAUCUUGGUAUGUAGAUGUAACCUUAACCCCCUUCUCCCUUUCUUAACUUUCCCCUUUCCUCUCCCUCCUCCUUUCCCUUCCGUUUUCUUUCAUUCUCUCCCCUUCUUGUCAUCUCAGAUUUUGAACAUUACGAGUUGUGCUGUGGUGAACUUCAAAAAUGUUGAGUUGUAAGAUUCGCACUCAAUGUUUUUGCAAGUCUGAAGUUUCCGUUUUCUUUUCUUUUUUAUUUCAAUAUCCUAUCUUUGGAUAUAUGUGGGGUGGGUUGUUUUUUGGUUGGAAGCCAGAUGCUUAACUGUAUUUUACCCUUGUGUCUUCCUUUAGACAUCUGAGGAGAAGGAUUAAAGUGAUUUGGAAUAAAACCAUUGUGGAGCACAUUUCAUUUGUAUGGUCAGGAUACAAAUAGGACAUCUAGGAGGAGGAUAGGACAUCUAGGAGCAAUCAGGUCGAGGCAAUGGUUUUGAUUGGAGGAGUGGCUCAAUGGAUCCCAAUCCUUGGAGCUGGAUGAGUGGAUCGAUUAGGAAAGGGAUAGGCAAAGAUGGAUGCCCGGGAACGGGAGCAGAUUUUCGAGGAUUCAAAUUUAUCAGAACUAAAAUAAUGGGAGUCCCAGAGCACCUUUUUUUUUUUUUUUUCUUCUUUUUUGGCCCUUUUGGUUUAGGCCCCAAUGGCUUUAUUAUAGAAGAAAACCAGAGGACCAGGAAGUUGGAUCAAAGGAUGGAGUCGUAGAUGUCCGGUAUGAGGGAAUUUUGAAAAAAUAUAUGGGAGGUUGGGAAGGGGGUUAAAUUCUGGGAAUAAUUUGUAAUUUUUGCUUUGCUUGAACUUUUAGCAUUUUCAAUAAACACACUUUCAAAC